AAAGUCGUAACAAGGUUUCCGUAGGUGAACCUGCGGAAGGAUCAUUACAAAUCCAAAACAAUUACCCGUUAAAAUGUUCUCGGCCUUGGAAACAUGAUUGUCUCAUCGUCAUUAAAAGUCGAUGAUACAUCAUAGUUAGCGUUGUAUGGGUGCGUGAUGAGAGUGAGGUCAGUCUUGUUCAUUCGAACAUUUCGAUAGACAAACCGACGUAUUCUCUUCAACCACGUGCACAUAUCUAGCCCUAACACCAAGGCUCGAAUUAAUGACUUUAACUCUUUGGACAUACUUAAUCAUGUCGUUCACUCGACACAACACUAAAACAACUUUUAACAAUGGAUCUCUAGGCUCUU
rnacentral:misc_RNA from 1 species